rnacentral:lncRNA from 1 species
CUUCUCGCUCACCCGUCUGACGAAUUGUUUGCAAGUCUAAGCAUUUUUUACUUCUCUGCUGCCUUUGCAGAGAACAUCUUUCGGAACUGUGUGACCCAGUGCGCUUUUGGUUCUCUUCUAAAGUCUCUGGUCACCUUUUAUCCAUCUUCUGUCCAGAUUCCUCGUUGUGACCUCUUCUCAUUAAUAACCCAGGGUCACCCAGUCUGCAGACUUCUGUUUUGUCCCUCUCCACACUCAUUCUUGGAGACACUCUUUCAAACACUUAUAGGAGGCAAGACACCUCUCAUCAGGACUGCCAGGUGCCUAAAGGAUUUCUGCCAGGGUCCUGUAUCGCCAAGUUCGUUGUUCAUAUUACUCCUCAAUACGGAACGCCUUCAGCCAAGAGAAGAAACCCGAGGGAAGGCAGAUGAGAGCGAGCAGACUUUCUGCGCAACGUAUAGAAAGGGAACUUGGUCUGUGCUGGCCAUGAUACAGCAUUAACCAGGAGGCUGGAGUCAAUUCAACUGCUUGAGUAGGUAAGCUUUGGCUUUGUGGCUCUUUUUUUCCUCCUUUCUGGUGACUCUGCCCAUUGGGACCCUCUCCCCUCAAAUUAACUGUCACAUAAGUAGUAUCCCUCCCAGGGACAUUUGCAUUUUAGGAAUAUAUUUUUAAAUGAAAGACUCUUAAAGUCCUUUAAGAUUCAAAGGAAUGGUGGCAUUCCAAGCUUCCUAAUAGGUAGGGUGGGAGCUGUUUGGGAACAAAAUACAGCUAGACACAACCUUUCACUGUGUAACUCCAUAAGGCAACUCCUUCCUUCAUCUCUCCUUUCUUGACCCCCUCCAUCCUUCACAGGUCUCCUUAGUCGCAUCUUGGGUGAGAAGAAAGCAAGAAAAUGAGGGAUCACAGACUUGGAGUUAAAAAUCAAGAUAGGAUGUAGAAAGAGUACCUAGGAUCUUAGAGAUUUUUUUCCUUUACUAGCCUCCAAGGUGCUUCUAAUACAGAAUAACUCCUGCCUUUGGCUUGGUUGGUAAAGCAUCUUGUGAUGGACACAUUGUAUGCGAGCGGGUGGGGUGGGGACUGGAGGCUAGGGUGGAAGUGCCGGGUGUCAGGAUGGAGAGGUC